rnacentral:lncRNA from 1 species
GCCCGGCCCGCGCCUGGGCGCCGCGGGGGUCGGCCUGACUGCGCGCGGCCCUGCGGGAACCGGGCCGCCGCGCUCCCGCCGGCUGGGCCGCAAAGGUUCCUUGAGGCCGGCCACCUCUUUUUAAGAGGCGGCGGGCCGCGGCCGGAGCGGCUCGGUGGCUGCGUGCGGCCCUGGAAGGGGGCGGGGGCGCUGUGCAGGCCCGAGCGCGGCAAUGAUUGGUCUCGGGGGAGGGGUGGGGGGUUGCAAACCCGGGGAGCGGUGGCAUCCGUUGCAUGAUGCAAAAAAGGAUUGAUUUCAAAAGUUGCGAGUUGCAUUGGCAGCAGCCUGGGGCGUCGUGUCCACCUCCUUUUCCCGACCCGCUGGAAAAGCCAGGAGUGAUUUCCUCAACCUGGCCGGGCUCGACCGCGCUGCACCAGCGGGACGCAGUACCUGCUCCUCAAACGCUGCGGUUGAAGUGUGCUGGAAGACAAUGACCAUGGAAACAAUUUGCAGAGUGUAGGAGCCGAGGAAAAGCCGCCUCUGCUCCAGUGAAAGAUUUGAAAACAUAAACGGCGCGUUUGAGUCUCAUUGACUCCCAUCAUCUCCUCCACCUAUUGUUUACCCCGGAGUUCAUUGGAGCCUCAGUGAAAUAUGCAAAUUCCCUGCAAAGUUUCUUGAACAUUUUAAUAUGCUUGGUAGGAAGUUUGGGGGGAAAGCUUAAGGUUCCCCAGGUACAUCAUUUUCUUAUUCACAUGUCCCUGGAAACAUGGCAGCUUACUCCUGUAUGUGCUUGAAGUGACAUCAGUGAGGCAGCUUCACCUCAUGAAAUUGAAAAAAACUUUUCAGGUUUUCGACUUUCUAAUGCAUUGUGGAUGUAAAUAAAGUAAAAUUUGUCGGUGCAAUGUCUUUUAGGGCUUCCCUUAAAACUUUGCAGGGUAGAGCAAUGCCAUACCAAAGUUUUGGGAGUCUGUCAGCAUUUUCCGAAUUAUUUUGGAGCAAUGGAACAAGGCUUUAUGGGUGCUUUCAGGUUUUCACAUUACAGAGUUGUCCUUUUUCUUCUUGAAAUGCUUGGGAGCUACCUAAGGUUUUAAUCUAGGUGUGGAUGCAGAAGUGAUGCCACUUCCAAGACUGGGUGGAUGCAAGCUCCUCC